AUGAGGAAGGGCGUAGUAAUCGAUGAAAUGCUUCGGGGAGUUAAAAAUAAGCAUAGAUCCGGAGAUUCCCGAAUAGGGCAACCUUUCGAACUGCUGCUGAAUCCAUGGGCAGGCAAGAGACAACCUGGCGAACUAAAACAUCUUAGUAGCCAGAAUGAUUCCCGUAGUAGCGGCGAGAAAAAUGGGAGCAGCCUAAACCGUAAGACGGGGUUGUGGGAGAGCAAUACAAGCGUCGUGCUACUAGGCGAAGCAGCCUGAAUGUUGCACCCUAGAUGGCGAAAGUCCAGUAGCCGAAAGCAUCACUAACUAGGUGAUGUCUUUUUUUCUUACU
rnacentral:ncRNA from 1 species